rnacentral:rRNA from 1 species
GGUUAAGUGACUAAGCGUACACGGUGGAUGCCUUGGCAAUC